UGCUAUUCUAGUGACCUAUAAAUUUGCUAUAAAUAGCUUUAUUUUUGGCUAGUCAUUUUAUUAUAACUGGAUUUUAUUUGAAGUGAGGACUGAAGAGACAUAAUCAUUUUUUAAGCCCUGGGUAAAACAAUGACAAAUUAAUAAUGGGUGCUAAGCUUAACAUUUCUGUUUAAAAGAUGGAAUAUAUUUAAUUGGAUUGAAUAUAUUUCAUCAGGAGUUUGGUACAUUUUUAAGUCCCAAAAUACGAUUAUGAAGUUUGUGAGAGUAUGCGCAUGCCUCGACUCACUCUGCCUUGCUUUUAAAAAUGGAACACAUUUGGCACUAAAUGGAACAAAUUCAGACAAGCAAAUCUAUGGGAGACUAAGCUGCUCCAUACUACUCUUUAGUUCUUGACUAAACUGAAACAAACAGCCUAACUACAUAGCACUUCUGUGAUGUAUGAAAAUAGAAUCUAGAGCUAAGAUGAGACUGUUCACUGAUGAGCCAAUCUCCCACUCUGUCAUAAUCAUAGUUACAAAUGCAAAAUUCAUUUAAGAAAAAUUCAUAUUUUCACCAAAUGCUUAGUGUUUUUCAAGUUUUCUUGCUAGAUAUGUUCAUGAUUACGUGGACAGCUAAAAUGUGGUCUUUGAAUUAAGUAAGGAAAUAUGAUUUUAUAGGGAUCUUUCUUUACUUGAAACUUCCUUAAAAACACACACACACACACAAAACAAAA